GUCUUCAUAGCUCAGCAGUAGAGCACGUGCCUAGCACGCAUGAGGUCCUGGGUUCAAUCCCCAGUGCCGCCU
rnacentral:tRNA from 1 species